AGUGAACGCUGGCGGUAGGCCUAACACAUGCAAGUCGAACGGCAGCACAGUAAGAGCUUGCUCUUACGGGUGGCGAGUGGCGGACGGGUGAGGAAUACAUCGGAAUCUACUUUUUCGUGGGGGAUAACGUAGGGAAACUUACGCUAAUACCGCAUACGACCUACGGGUGAAAGCAGGGGAUCUUCGGACCUUGCGCGAUUGAAUGAGCCGAUGUCGGAUUAGCUAGUUGGCGGGGUAAAGGCCCACCAAGGCGACGAUCCGUAGCUGGUCUGAGAGGAUGAUCAGGCACACUGGAACUGAGACACGGUCCAGACUCCUACGGGAGGCAGGAGUGGGGAAUAUUGGAGAAUGGGCGCAAGCCUGAUCCAGCCAUACCGCGUGGGUGAAGAAGGCCUUCGGGUUGUAAAGCCCUUUUGUUGGGAAAGAAAAGCAGCAGGUUAAUACCCCGCUGUUCUGACGGUACCCAAAGAAUAAGCACCGGCUAACUUCGUG
rnacentral:rRNA from 1 species